GGAAAGAAAAAAAAAAGAAAUAGAGAGAGCAGAGUAAGAAGAAAGAGUGCGACUGUGUGAGAGCGAAGGAGGAACUGAUCUCGACUCUGCUGAAGAUUUCUCCGCUGCUAAAAGGGUUUUCGAAUCGAAUGAUGAUGAUGAUGAUGAUGAUGAUGAUAAAUUAGGAUCUGUUUCUUCUGAUGUGAUGGUUCUCUCAAGUAUUAUCUUUAGGUUUUGGAAUCAUCAUCUGGUCGAGAUGAUAGUAUUGACGAUCUGUUUCUUAUAGCUUAGAGAUAUCAAUGGUCUGUAGAUGCUGCUGCUUUGGUGUUCCGUGUUCUUCUUCUCUUUUGAAAUUUCACUCUGAUUGCUUGCUCUUGUUGAACCAGCGUAGCCAUUAUCAUUGGCAUUGAUUUCUUCUUUGCUAAUCAUUACUUAUAUCAGUCUUCUCUCUUAGCGUUGUUUUCAGGUAGGAAAAUCAUGGAUCCUAAUGCUCAUCCCGUCAUGAUCACUGGCAGACACAAAGAUCAAUGUGUAAGGUGGGACUGUAGACGAGUCCCUGUUAGACCAUUCGAGUAUUGUCACUUUUCCUGCCAAGAGAUGGCUGCUUCAGAUUCGCAGUCCACCCUCCCAUUCUUGUUGUCGGAUGUCUAUUCUUCAACUACUGAGUUUGCCCUCAUUGCUGGCAAGAUUUUCAACUUGAUCAAGGCUGCAAAGGAGCCUGGAGUUCCUCAACUCUCUAAAGAUGUGUUUCAAAUCCCUCCUUGGCUGUCAAGUAAGUUCGAUGUUGAGUUUUCUGCAUGGGAAACCUUUCGCCAGUGGUUGUUCAUGGGAUCGUCUCAAAUUCCUGCAACUUUGGAUUUCAACUAGGUAGAAGAACGUAGCAAGGUGGUUGGUCAAGUGAGGCUUUGUGUUCUUAAGCCUUUCCCCAAGGAAGACAACAUUUGGGAACUUCACCAGUAUUCAAGCUUGGAUCAGAUGGGAAAAACAGUCUAUGUGAUGCGUUGCAACAAAUUUGGCGAACCAUUAUCAAUUUUGGAAACUUAACAGCUGGGGAGGAUGAGGAAACUGAUAGUGAUUGAUUCAAGCGGCCGGUUGUACUCUGGAAAUGUAAGGUGAAGCUGGAGAGUGAUUACUAGAGUAUGUGACAUCAUGCGUUUACCUUAUGGAAUCCAAAUACUGUUAGGCUAUGUUUCUUAGGUGGUUAGACUGUUUUUGUAUUGGAUUUAUGUAUGGAUUUUUUUUUUAAUUAGCCAAUACACUAUCGGGUCUUUGCAUAAUUGCAUCAACCAACUUUGUGUUGAAAUAUCUCUAGUCACUUGAAACAUUUUAUUUUAUC